UUAGGAAUUUUGCGCAAUGGGGGAAACCCUGACGCAGCAACGCCGCGUGAGUGAAGAAGGCCUUCGGGUUGUAAAGCUCUUUAGACAGGGAAGAAACAAAUGACGUUACCUGUAGAAUAAGCACCGGCUAACUCCGUGCCAGCAGCCGCGGUAAUACGGAGGGUGCAAGCGUUGCUCGGAAUUACUGGGCGUAAAGCGAACGUAGGCGGUUUAGUAAGUCUGAUGUGAAAGCCCACGACUCAAUCGUGGAAGUGCAUUGGAUACUGCUAGACUAGAGUAGAGGAGAGGUGAGUGGAAUUCCAGGUGUAGAGGUGAAAUUCGUAGAUAUCUGGAGGAACAACAGAGGCGAAGGCGACUCACUGGACUCUUACUGACGCUGAGGUUCGAAAGCGUGGGGAGCGAACGGGAUUAGAUACCCCCGUAGUCC
rnacentral:rRNA from 1 species